rnacentral:lncRNA from 1 species
AAAAGUAUACAAGUAUACCGAACCGUCGAGAUCCGUAACUAUAAGUAGAACAAAACAUAAGUAAAUGGGUGUUGUGUACUGCGGUUAAACCUGGGCAGUUAUGUAGUCGUGUCUAGGAUCAAUAUAGCCUGGCCAACUAUAUUCAUUCGAGACACGACCAACAUGUGCUUGGGAGUGACUGUGGUAUGCGUCAUACCUAAAACUUACCUUAGUACCACAACCAGCGCGCUAGCGUCGUAACGAAUUAUGAAAUACUAUGGGAGUAUUUCUCGAAUUAAUCUUUUGUAGAAAUCCUCGUUCACGUAUAGAUCCUUGAUUAUUCCAUUAGCGAUAGUUUACCUUCCUUGAUUAUUCCAUUAGCGAUAGUUUACCUGCUUCAAUAACUCUUUCCUGUUUUAUCGCUUAUUUGGAAUUAAUAUCUGUCAUAUCUCUCGAUUCAAUUCAGAGGACUUAUCAUCCUCUCUUUCUUGAUCUUAUUAGAUCAAGAUGCCUCCCAGAAAGAGACCCAGCUCAAAGACCAACAACCCUCCGCCACCACCUCCUCCUGAAAUUGAUCCCGU